GCUGGAAUUGCUAGUAAUGGCAGGUCAGCAUACUGCCGUGAAUACGUUCCCGGGCCUUGUACACACCGCCCGUCGCACCAUGAGAGUUGGAAAUACCCGAAGCCUGUGAGCUAACUUAAAGAGGCAGCAGUCGAAGGUAGAGCCAAUGAUUGGGGUGAAGUCGUAACAAGGUAUC
rnacentral:rRNA from 1 species